CAGUCUUCGGUGGACAAAGACUUAAGGUUCAUUUGGUGCCCUCAUGGUUUUUUUGAGAAAUUAAUAGUUUUUGAGAUAUCUUCGAAAUUUGGCCCCGACGGUUGCAAAAAAGUUUGUUGCCUAAGAAAAUAGGUUGUAACUUUUUUGUUGUUAUAGUUAGGAAAAUGAUUUAAACGAUUUUCGGUAGACAAAGACUCAUGGUUCAUUUAGGCUCUCUAUGAUUUUUUUGAGAAAUUAGUACUUUUGUGAGAUAUCCUAGAAAUUUGACUCCGACGGUUGCAAAAAAGUUUGUUCCCUAAGAAAAUCUGUUGUUACUUUUUUACUUUUAUAAUUAGGAAAAUGAUUUUAACAGUCUUCGGUGGACAAAGACUUAAGGUUUAUUUGGUGCCUUCAUGGUUUUUUUGAGAAAUUAAUAGUUUUUGAGAUAUCUUCGAAAUUUGGCCCCGACGGUUGCAAAAAAGUUUGUUGCCUAAGAAAAUAGGUUGUAACUUUUUUGUUGUUAUAGUUAGGAAAAUGAUUUAAACGAUUUUCGGUAGACAAAGACUCAUGGUUCAUUUAGGCUCUCUAUGAUUUUUUUGAGAAAUUAGUACUUUUGUGAGAUAUCCUAGAAAUUUGACUCCGACGGUUGCAAAAAAGUUUGUUCCCUAAGAAAAUCUGUUGUUACUUUUUUACUUUUAUAAUUAGGAAAAUGAUUUUAACAGUCUUCGGUGGACAAAGACUUAAGGUUUAUUUGGUGCCUUCAUGGUUUUUUUGAGAAAUUAAUAGUUUUUGAGAUAUCUUCGAAAUUUGGCCCCGACGGUUGCAAAAAAGUUUGUUGCCUAAGAAAAUAGGUUGUAACUUUUUUGUUGUUAUAGUUAGGAAAAUGAUUUAAACGAUUUUCGGUAGACAAAGACUCAUGGUUCAUUUAGGCUCUCUAUGAUUUUUUUGAGAAAUUAGUACUUUUGUGAGAUAUCCUAGAAAUUUGACUCCGACGGUUGCAAAAAAGUUUGUUCCCUAAGAAAAUCUGUUGUUACUUUUUUACUUUUAUAAUUAGGAAAAUGAUUUUAACAGUCUUCGGUGGACAAAGACUUAAGGUUUAUUUGGUGCCUUCAUGGUUUUUUUGAGAAAUUAAUAGUUUUUGAGAUAUCUUCGAAAUUUGGCCCCGACGGUUGCAAAAAAGUUUGUUGCCUAAGAAAAUAGGUUGUAACUUUUUUGUUGUUAUAGUUAGGAAAAUGAUUUAAACGAUUUUCGGUAGACAAAGACUCAUGGUUCAUUUAGGCUCUCUAUGAUUUUUUUGAGAAAUUAGUACUUUUGUGAGAUAUCCUAGAAAUUUGACUCCGACGGUUGCAAAAAAGUUUGUUCCCUAAGAAAAUCUGUUGUUACUUUUUUACUUUUAUAAUUAGGAAAAUGAUUUUAACAGUCUUCGGUGGACAAAGACUUAAGGUUUAUUUGGUGCCUUCAUGGUUUUUUUGAGAAAUUAAUAGUUUUUGAGAUAUCUUCGAAAUUUGGCCCCGACGGUUGCAAAAAAGUUUGUUGCCUAAGAAAAUAGGUUGUAACUUUUUUGUUGUUAUAGUUAGGAAAAUGAUUUAAACGAUUUUCGGUAGACAAAGACUCAUGGUUCAUUUAGGCUCUCUAUGAUUUUUUUGAGAAAUUAGUACUUUUGUGAGAUAUCCUAGAAAUUUGACUCCGACGGUUGCAAAAAAGUUUGUUCCCUAAGAAAAUCUGUUGUUACUUUUUUACUUUUAUAAUUAGGAAAAUGAUUUUAACAGUCUUCGGUGGACAAAGACUUAAGGUUUAUUUGGUGCCUUCAUGGUUUUUUUGAGAAAUUAAUAGUUUUUGAGAUAUCUUCGAAAUUUGGCCCCGACGGUUGCAAAAAAGUUUGUUGCCUAAGAAAAUAGGUUGUAACUUUUUUGUUGUUAUAGUUAGGAAAAUGAUUUAAACGAUUUUCGGUAGACAAAGACUCAUGGUUCAUUUAGGCUCUCUAUGAUUUUUUUGAGAAAUUAGUACUUUUGUGAGAUAUCCUAGAAAUUUGACUCCGACGGUUGCAAAAAAGUUUGUUCCCUAAGAAAAUCUGUUGUUACUUUUUUACUUUUAUAAUUAGGAAAAUGAUUUUAACAGUCUUCGGUGGACAAAGACUUAAGGUUUAUUUGGUGCCUUCAUGGUUUUUUUGAGAAAUUAAUAGUUUUUGAGAUAUCUUCGAAAUUUGGCCCCGACGGUUGCAAAAAAGUUUGUUGCCUAAGAAAAUAGGUUGUAACUUUUUUGUUGUUAUAGUUAGGAAAAUGAUUUAAACGAUUUUCGGUAGACAAAGACUCAUGGUUCAUUUAGGCUCUCUAUGAUUUUUUUGAGAAAUUAGUACUUUUGUGAGAUAUCCUAGAAAUUUGACUCCGACGGUUGCAAAAAAGUUUGUUCCCUAAGAAAAUCUGUUGUUACUUUUUUACUUUUAUAAUUAGGAAAAUGAUUUUAACAGUCUUCGGUGGACAAAGACUUAAGGUUUAUUUGGUGCCUUCAUGGUUUUUUUGAGAAAUUAAUAGUUUUUGAGAUAUCUUCGAAAUUUGGCCCCGACGGUUGCAAAAAAGUUUGUUGCCUAAGAAAAUAGGUUGUAACUUUUUUGUUGUUAUAGUUAGGAAAAUGAUUUAAACGAUUUUCGGUAGACAAAGACUCAUGGUUCAUUUAGGCUCUCUAUGAUUUUUUUGAGAAAUUAGUACUUUUGUGAGAUAUCCUAGAAAUUUGACUCCGACGGUUGCAAAAAAGUUUGUUCCCUAAGAAAAUCUGUUGUUACUUUUUUACUUUUAUAAUUAGGAAAAUGAUUUUAACAGUCUUCGGUGGACAAAGACUUAAGGUUUAUUUGGUGCCUUCAUGGUUUUUUUGAGAAAUUAAUAGUUUUUGAGAUAUCUUCGAAAUUUGGCCCCGACGGUUGCAAAAAAGUUUGUUGCCUAAGAAAAUAGGUUGUAACUUUUUUGUUGUUAUAGUUAGGAAAAUGAUUUAAACGAUUUUCGGUAGACAAAGACUCAUGGUUCAUUUAGGCUCUCUAUGAUUUUUUUGAGAAAUUAGUACUUUUGUGAGAUAUCCUAGAAAUUUGACUCCGACGGUUGCAAAAAAGUUUGUUCCCUAAGAAAAUCUGUUGUUACUUUUUUACUUUUAUAAUUAGGAAAAUGAUUUUAACAGUCUUCGGUGGACAAAGACUUAAGGUUUAUUUGGUGCCUUCAUGGUUUUUUUGAGAAAUUAAUAGUUUUUGAGAUAUCUUCGAAAUUUGGCCCCGACGGUUGCAAAAAAGUUUGUUGCCUAAGAAAAUAGGUUGUAACUUUUUUGUUGUUAUAGUUAGGAAAAUGAUUUAAACGAUUUUCGGUAGACAAAGACUCAUGGUUCAUUUAGGCUCUCUAUGAUUUUUUUGAGAAAUUAGUACUUUUGUGAGAUAUCCUAGAAAUUUGACUCCGACGGUUGCAAAAAAGUUUGUUCCCUAAGAAAAUCUGUUGUUACUUUUUUACUUUUAUAAUUAGGAAAAUGAUUUUAACAGUCUUCGGUGGACAAAGACUUAAGGUUUAUUUGGUGCCUUCAUGGUUUUUUUGAGAAAUUAAUAGUUUUUGAGAUAUCUUCGAAAUUUGGCCCCGACGGUUGCAAAAAAGUUUGUUGCCUAAGAAAAUAGGUUGUAACUUUUUUGUUGUUAUAGUUAGGAAAAUGAUUUAA
rnacentral:lncRNA from 1 species